GCCUGCCUCGGAUGACUGGGGGCGAGGCGCAAGCCUGAUCAGCCAUGCCGCGGCGUGUGUGAAGAAGGCCUUCCUGGUUGUAAAGCACUUUAAGCGUAUAGGAGGAGGCUACUUUAGUUAAUACCUAGAGAUAGUGGACGUUACUCACAAAACAAACGCCGGUUAAUUCUGUGCCAGCAGCCGCGGUAAUCAUACAGAGGGGGCAAGCGUUUUAAUCGAAUUUUACGGGGCGUAAAGCGCGCGUAGGCGGCUAAUUAAGUCAAAUGUGAAAUCCCCGAGCGUUAACUUGGAAACCUUGCAUUCAAUACUGGUUACCUAAAGUGUGGAAAAGGAUGGUAAAAUUCCAGGUGUACCGGUGUAGAAUUGCGUAAAGAUCUGAAGAAAUACCGAUGCCGAUGGCAAAGGCAGCCAUCUGGCCUAACACUGACCCUGAGGUGCGCGAAAAGCAUGGGGAGCAACAGGUAUUAUAGAUACCCUGGUAGUCCAUGCCGUAAACGAUGUCUACUAGCCGUUGGGGCCUUUGAGGCUUUAGUUAAAGGCGCAGCUAACGCGAUAAGUACACCGCCUGGUGGGGAGUACGGUCGUCCGCCAAGACUAAAACUCGAGUACUCAAAUGAAUUGACGGGGGCCCGCACAAGCGGUGGAGCAUGUGGUUUAAUUCGAUGCAACCGCUGCGAAAAACCUUACCUAGCCUUGACAUAGAAAGAACUUUCCAGAGAUGGAUUGGUGCCUUCGGAAACUUCGACAUACAGGUGCUGCAUGGCUGUCCAUAUCACCUCGUGUCGUGAGAUGUUGUUGGGUUAAUUCCCGCAACGAGCGCAACCCUUUUCCUUAUUUGCCAGCGAGUAAUGUCGGGAACUUUAAGGAUACUGCCAGUGACAAACUGAAGGAAGGCGGGAACAACUUCAAGUCAUCAUGGCCUAUUAUUACUUACGGCCAGGGCUACACACGUGCUACAGUGGUCGGUACAAAGGGUUGCUACCUAGCGAUAGGAUGCUAAUCUCAAAAACCCAAUCGUAUCCCGGAUUGAACUCUGCAACUCCACUCCAUGAACCGCAAUCCCUACGAAUCGCGAAUCAAAAUGCCCCGGUGAAUACUUUCCGGGCCUUUACCCCCCCCCCCCCCCCCGGGGAAGGUUUUUUCCCCUAAAUAUCUUCCAAGUGCAUUACUCCAAAGACGUCGCCCGGGGGGAUAUCUAGGAAAUUC
rnacentral:rRNA from 1 species